UACAGAGGUGGCAAGCGUUGUUCGGAAUUACUGGGCGUAAAGGGCGCGUAGGCGGCCUUCUAAGUCGGACGUGAAAGCCCCAGGCUUAACCUGGGAACUGCGUCCGAUACUGGGAGGCUUGGAUUCGGGAGAGGGAUGUGGAAUUCCAGGUGUAGCGGUAAAAUGCGUAGAUAUCUGGAGGAACACCGGUGGCGAAGGCGGCAUCCUGGACCGAGAUCGACGCUGAGGCGCGAAAGCUAGGGGAGCAAACGGG
rnacentral:rRNA from 1 species